rnacentral:tRNA from 1 species
UCAUCUUUGGUGCAGUAGGUAGCACAAUGGUCUUGCAAGCUGAAGGUCCGGAGUUUGAUCCUCCAAAGGAGGG